AGGUAAUGUUUUAUGGCCUAUAGGUUUUACAUUUACAUUAUUGCAUUUAGCAAAUUCUUUAAUCCAAAAUGACAUGGUGCGUUCAAUGUACACAGAUUGCCAGCGUGUGUUCCUUGGGAACUGAACCCAUGAACGCAACUUUGUUAGCGCCAUGCUCUACCAGUCAAACUACAGCAACAAUAUAACUGUUGUUGGGGUCUGGUUUCCAUGGAGAGCUGACAUUCUGAGUGUUGAGAGUGGACAUGCAUAAUCGGGAAGGACGUAUUAUCUGCUGUACAUUACGGAGGUGGAUAGAUUAUUCUCCUGAAACCGCUCUGCUGGCUAAUACUGUACUGCCUAAGCCAUCCUCAGUGCCAGCCACUUGUCAUUCACACCAAGUGCCAUGCCGACAGGCCUCUUGGGGGCAGGAUUAGUGUACAUAUACUGACAGGUAUAAAAAAGCUGUUAUCCUGACAGCCAGGUGUAUCAAUUGUAACCCUCAUAGUACCAGAAUCAGCAUUACAGGCAUUUGAAUAUACUCACACAUUCCACUCUCUCUUAUAUCACUGCAGGGCCUGCAAGCAACAAACCAGGAUGGAAAUUUAAAAUAGCUUCUAUUCAAUAAAUCUAGUGUCAAUGAGUGACUCA
ensembl:lncRNA